rnacentral:misc_RNA from 1 species
AACACUGUUAACCUGCGGUACCUGCGGAAGGAUCAUUUCCGAAACAAACUCUUACAAACCAAUCUUGUGGAAUGUUUUGGGUUUUUUACUCUAGAAGGUAGAGCUUAGUUGCGCUAAUAGUGGCUUCAGUUGUGCCAGUGGGUACGUUCGCUGUCGCCCUCCUAUUACGCAAUGCUUGACGCUCUACUCUUCUAGAGGCCAUGAUGAACUACCUUCGGGUUGAUAGUAUCGUUUUUCUCA